GUACAUCUGAAUGUCUCUCUACUUGUAGACAUGUGUGACUUUGUACACAUUGACAAAAUUAGGUUCCAAUAGUAAGUACAUCUGAAUGUCUCUCCACUUGUAGACAUGUGUGACUUUGUACACAUUGACAAAAUUAGGUUCCAAUAGUAAGUACAUCUGAAUGUCUCUCCACUUGUAGACAUGUGUGACUUUGUACACAUUGACAAAAUUAGGUUCCAAUAGUAAGUACAUCUGAAUG
rnacentral:sRNA from 1 species